CUUAGGGUUAGGGGUAGGGUUAGGGGUAGAGGUAGGCUAGGGGGAGGGUUAGGUUAAGGUUAGGUGUAGGGUUAGGGUAGGGUUUGGUGUAGGGUUAGGGUUACCCUACCCUAACCCUACUCCAACCACUAACCCUUCCCCAACCCGUAACACUACCCCAACCCUUAACCCUACCCCUAAACCGAACCUUAUCCCUACCCUUACCCUACUCCAACCACUAACCCUUCCCCAACCCCUAUCCCUAACUCUACCUCAACCCUACCCCUAAACCUAACCUUAACCCUACCCCUAACCCUACUUCUUCCCUAACCACUAA